rnacentral:rRNA from 1 species
UACGUAGGGUGCGAGCGUUAAUCGGAAUUACUGGGCGUAAAGCGUGCGCAGGCGGUUGUGCAAGACAGAGGUGAAAUCUCCGAGCUCAACUCGGAAAUGGCAUUGGAAACUACCUUGCUCGAGGGUUGGAGGGGGGACGUGGAAUACUUGGUGUAGCAGUGAAAUGCGUAGAUAUCAAGUGGAACACCAGUGGCGAAGGCGAGUCCCUGGACAACUCCUGACACUGAGGCACGAAAGCUAGGGGAGCAAACAGG